CUCCACGCCCCUUCCUAGCGCGGGGCUUCUUCCGUCCCGGAGCCCCGCCUGGCUCCCGCCUCCCGCGCCGCUACCCCUUUGCUGGGGAGGUGGCGUAGGACUUCCUGAUCGCCGCGGGUCAUGCCACCGAGAAAUGGGCUCAGAGAUAAAGAAAACACAGUCUUGGCCUCAAGAAGAUCACAAACCAGCGAGAAAACUGGAAAAGAAGUUUCCAGAAUCUGGGAAGUCCAUCUCAGACUGGAGAGGCCUCCAGAAAUCCUUAGUCCAGCUGCCCAUCUGAUGCAGGAAUGCCUUCUCCAACACCGCUGCCAGCAUCGCAGAAAACCGUGAUUGGUGCCUCUGUGAGCGUGGGACAGGAAGAGUUAACCUGCUGACAGACGGCAUUUUUUACCUUCAGUCAAUAUGAACAAGGCCCCAAGACUAUGAUUCCAAACAUCUGGAUUUCAUCAAUAUGUGAUCUGUCAUCGUAUAUUGGCAUUCCCCAGUCCCCGCGCCAGAGCAAUGCGGCUGGUUUUAUUAAUACGUCAAAUACAUUAUCCGUGUAAUACACUUGUCUGGCUGGGGCCUCCCGCUGGGGCGGGGCGGCGGAUUUGAA